rnacentral:misc_RNA from 1 species
GUGAAUCAUCGAAUUUUUGAACGCAAAUUGCACUCUCUUCGGAGAGUAUGACUGUUCGUGGGUCAGUAUUAAUAAAAAUCGGCGUGUUGCUUUUUUGUGACGUUUCGGAGUUUGGGUCAUCUUAUAAUAAUACCCUUUCAGGUUAUUUUUAAGAGGCUUAAAAUUGACCUUUUUUGUGUAUUUUAGACGCACAUAAAUUUUUUUUAUUCGUUUAUUUUCAUGCUAAAUCUCUAUUAGAUGCGACCAUAUCGUGUGGUUUCGUGUCAAUUAAUUUUUCAUGAUUUCAC